UGCAGUCGAGCGACGGACGAGAAGCUUGCUUCUCUGAUGUUAGCGGCGGACGGGUGAGUAACACGUGGAUAACCUACCUAUAAGACUGGGAUAACUUCGGGAAACCGGAGCUAAUACCGGAUAAUAUUUUGAACCGCAUGGUUCAAAAGUGAAAGACGGUCUUGCUGUCACUUAUAGAUGGAUCCGCGCUGCAUUAGCUAGUUGGUAAGGUAACGGCUUACCAAGGCAACGAUGCAUAGCCGACCUGAGAGGGUGAUCGGCCACACUGGAACUGAGACACGGUCCAGACUCCUACGGGAGGCAGCAGUAGGGAAUCUUCCGCAAUGGGCGAAAGCCUGACGGAGCAACGCCGCGUGAGUGAUGAAGGUCUUCGGAUCGUAAAACUCUGUUAUUAGGGAAGAACAUAUGUGUAAGUAACUGUGCACAUCUUGACGGUACCUAAUCAGAAAGCCACGGCUAACUACGUGCCAGCAGCCGCGGUAAUACGUAGGUGGCAAGCGUUAUCCGGAAUUAUUGGGCGUAAAGCGCGCGUAGGCGGUUUUUUAAGUCUGAUGUGAAAGCCCACGGCUCAACCGUGGAGGGUCAUUGGAAACUGGAAAACUUGAGUGCAGAAGAGGAAAGUGGAAUUCCAUGUGUAGCGGUGAAAUGCGCAGAGAUAUGGAGGAACACCAGUGGCGAAGGCGACUUUCUGGUCUGUAACUGACGCUGAUGUGCGAAAGCGUGGGGAUCAAACAGGAUUAGA
rnacentral:rRNA from 1 species